rnacentral:rRNA from 1 species
AAAGGAAUUGACGGGGACCCGCACAAGCGGUGGAGCAUGUGGUUUAAUUCGACGCAACGCGAAGAACCUUACCUGCUCUUGAGAUCCCACUUUUCGAAGUGGAGACAGGUGGUGCAUGGUUGUCGUCAGCUCGUGUCGUGAGAUGUUGGGUUAAGUCCCGCAACGAGCGCAACCCUUGUCGUUAGUAGAUAGCAGUCCGGCUGAUCACUCUAGCGAGACUGCCGGGGCAACCCGGAGGAAGGUGGGGAUGACGUCAAAUCAUCAUGCCCCUUACGAGCAGGGCUACACACGUGCUACAAUGGCGUAAACAACAGGAAGCAGAGCCGCGAGGCCGAGCAAACCCUCAAAUAACGUCUCAGUUCGGAUUGUAGUCUGCAACUCGACUACAUGAAGCAGGAAUCGCUAGUAAUCGCGAAUCAGAAUGUCGCGGUGAAUACGUUCCCGGGUCUUGUACACACCGCCCGU